rnacentral:rRNA from 1 species
GACGAACGCUGGCGGCGUGCUUAACACAUGCAAGUCGAACGGAAAGGCCCUGCUUUUGUGGGGUGCUCGAGUGGCGAACGGGUGAGUAACACGUGAGUAACCUGCCCUUGACUUUGGGAUAACUUCAGGAAACUGGGGCUAAUACCGGAUAGGAGCUCCUGCUGCAUGGUGGGGGUUGGAAAGUUUCGGCGGUUGGGGAUGGACUCGCGGCUUAUCGGCUUGUUGGUGGGGUAGUGGCUUACCAAGGCUUUGACGGGUAGCCGGCCUGAGAGGGUGACCGGCCACAUUGGGACUGAGAUACGGCCCAGACUCCUACGGGAGGCAGCAGUGGGGAAUAUUGCACAGUGGGCGGAAGCCUGAUGCAGCAACGCCGCGUGCGGGAUGACGGCCUUCGGGUUGUAAACCGCUUUCGCCUGUGACGAAGCGUGAGUGACGGUAAUGGGUAAAGAAGCACCGGCUAACUACGUG